GAUAAAUUUUUUAUAUUUUUAUAAAUUUAUUAUAAAUUUAUUUUACAUGUAAAUUUUAGUAUAAAAUUUUAAUUAUUUUAAAAAUAGUUAAUUUAAUUUAAACAGUAAUUAAAAUUAAAAAUUUAAGAAAUUAAGAUUUAGUAAUAUUUAAAUUAAUAACUAAUUUUGUGCCAGCAGUUGCGGUUAAACAAAAGUUAAAUUAAAUUAUUUCAGUAUAUAAUAAAUAAUUAAAUAUUAAAUUAAAUAUUAAAUUAUUAAGUGAAAUUUUAAUUUAAUUAAAAAUUAUUAAAAAAUUAUGAUUUAAUAAAUUUUAUUAUAAACUAGGAUUAGAUACCCUAUUAUUAAAAAUUUAAUUAAAAAUACUAAAAUAGUAAAUAAAAUAUUAUUGAAACUUAAAUAAUAUGGCGGUAUUUUAGUUCAUUUAGAGGAAUCUGUCUAGUAAUUGAUAAUCCACGAAUAAAUUUACUUAAUUUAUAAUUUUGUAUAUCAUUGUUAAAAAAAUAUUUUAAAAUAAAAAUAAUAUUUUAAAAUUUAUAAUAAAAAUUAAUUCAGAUCAAGAUGCAGAUUAUAAUUAAGUUUAAGAUGGGUUACAAUAAAAUUAUUUAAAUGGAAAAAAUUUUGUAAUAUUUGAUUGAAAGUGGAUUUAAAUGUAAUUUUAAUUAAUUUAUUAAAAUGAUUAAAAAUUGAAAUAUGUACAUAUUGCCCGUCACUUUCAUUUAAAAAUUGAAAUAAGUCGUAACAAAGUAGAGGUACUGGAAAGUGUUUCUAGAAUGAA
rnacentral:ncRNA from 1 species